rnacentral:tRNA from 1 species
GCACCCUUAGCUCAGUUGGUAGAGCAACUGACUCUUAAGCAGUGGGUCCAGGGUGCGAAUCCCUGAGGGUGUA